UCGCUCAUUCCAGUUGCUUUUUUGCAAUCUUGAUAAACACAUGAAAAUGGCAUGUUACAAGAAGCCACACUAUAAAUUUUGGAAGAGCUAAAUAAAUGACACUCAAAUACAAUGAGAUUAGGACAUCUUCGUCGAGCUUCGGUCAUUCAUUGCAAUUUAUAAAAGAAAAAACAGGACACUGAUCAUAACAAAAACUAAAAACCAAAGAAAAAACAGGACACCGAUCAAGGUUGACGACGCCCGCACCCGAGCCGCCAGCCUCGUCGUUGUUGGCGGCCAACGCCAAACCCGCGGAGCACGACAAUACAACAAUACAUAGUCAUUCAAAUAACCGCAAAAUGAGAUAAACUGAGGGUACCUAUGUGAUUUCCCGGAAUUGAUCCCUAGAAAUAUCCAAUUGAAUUGCUUGGGGAGCUUUAUGAUACACCACCAUAGUGAGAUCUGUCGAUUUGCCCAUGUGGACGCUGGAUGUAGAGGGAAACCAUGCCUGCUCAAGUCCCAUUCCAAAGGAUGCAUUGGACUGUAAAAAGAACACAUAUGAGAAUGAAAUGCACCGUCAUUGCGUUUCUUUUGACAAACUUUGCAAAAGUUGCAUCAAGCCACCUAUUUUAAGUUUUUAACAUGCCACUUUUUGUAACCAAACUCAAAUAACACUGUUGUUCAAAUAUGAGAAAAGUUAUAGAUUAAUGAUUAAAAAAAGCUUGUUUUCUUGAAAAGUGUAUCAAACUUCUAGGAGAAGGCUAUACAAUAUUUUACUAAACUCAAUACUUUCAGGCCGUUUUUUUAAAUCAAUGCAUCCCUCAUCGAGUCAUAUUUUCUAGUACCCCCUACAAAUUCUUUAAAGAAUAGUACAACAUGACAUAGUAAUGCAAUGCCUAGAGUUAAACCUAUCAACUUUGGCAUGUACAUACUUGAAUUUGUACCAUUGUUCCUGCCAUCUUCUGUUACAUAGUUAUAACUGAAUUACUAUGCAAUCAUUGUUACUGAAACAAUACAUAAGAACAUGCAGUCUGCAUGUCAAGUUUUCUCUAAGAAUAAAUUUAGGUACACGUCACAAUAAAACCAGAGUAGUGAUUGUUCAACAGAAAACUGGUAGUUCACUUUGUUUCCUAUAUCCAGUUGCCUCUAGUAAGAUUUUUACUGCAAGCAAAAAAACAUGGAACAAAUCUGAAUUAGAUUCAUAAUUAAAAUCUGCAGAUUUGGAAAUAAAAAAACAGGGACCAUUAUAACAGAACAUGGAAACUAAGAAGUAGUUCUUAUUCGAACAACUUAGAUUGGUGAUUGUGUACUGAGAGGGCGAAUGGCGAGUCCAUACAAGCCAAUCUCCUUACCGUUCGUUGAGUUCUCUAAGAUUGGCGAUUGUAUUUGCGGCAUACCAUUUGAUGUAUGGUAUGACAGCAUGAUGAUCUACCUUGUUCUGGAUAAGUGGGUCUCUUCACUUUAUAUUUUGGUGGUACCGUUCGGCUUCUCAAUGAUGACCACGAUAAUGUUAACUUUGAUGGA
rnacentral:lncRNA from 1 species